rnacentral:lncRNA from 10 species
ACAGAUUUCCAUCAACAACUGCCUACUCCUGUAUCUCUGGACAUCUCUUAGAACCCAACCCAUUUUUCCACUGAAGUAAACACUUACUUAAAAGUUUAAUUCAGGCCAGGUGCAGUCUCUACUGUGAGUAACAAGGAAGUGUUUCCUCGUGGGUCAUGAGAAAAACUCUCUUGUUCAGGUAAGAUCAUAUUUACAGGCUCACUGAGCAUGAAUCACUCUUCACAGAAGCCCAGAAUCAGCAGCAGAGCUCUGCUCAAGCCCUAGCACUGCUCCACGUGAGCUGGUGACCUUGGGCUGCUCACAUCUCCUUCUAGGUUCCCAUCUUCUCAUCUCUAAAUGAAAGGUAAUUCCUGUCCACCUUCCAUGCAGGAUGGCGUUUGAAAAGCAUGAAAUGGUAACUGGAUAGCAUGUGGAAAAAGACAAUCUGGAGCCAUACUUCACAUCUAUACCAGGAAAAACUCCAAAUGGAUAGAGAGAUUUAAAUGUAAAAACAGAAACUAUAAAAGUCUGCCUGAAAAAAACACGAUAAAUUCCUGUAAAAGCUGGGAAUGAAGAAAACCUUCCUAU